rnacentral:sRNA from 1 species
GCAGGGCACCGUGGUGCAUGCCUGUAAUCCCAGCGACUCUGGAGGUUGAGGCAGGAGGAUCAUGAGUUCAAAGCCAGCCUCAGCAAUGGACAGGCGCUAAGCAACUCAGUGAGACCCUGUCUCUA